rnacentral:rRNA from 1 species
AGAGUUUGAUCCUGGCUCAGGAUGAACGCUAGCUACAGGCUUAACACAUGCAAGUCGAGGGGCAGCAUUGGAGUAGCAAUACUCAGAUGGCGACCGGCGCACGGGUGAGUAACACGUAUCCAACCUGCCGCUUACUCGGGGAUAGCCUUUCGAAAGAAAGAUUAAUACCCGAUGGUAUAAAGAGUUCGCAUGUUCUCUUUAUUAAAGAAUUUCGGUAAGCGAUGGGGAUGCGUUCCAUUAGAUAGUUGGCGGGGUAACGGCCCACCAAGUCUACGAUGGAUAGGGGUUCUGAGACGGAAGGUCCCCCACAUUGGAACUGAGACACGGUCCAAACUCCUACGGGAGGCAGCAGUGAGGAAUAUUGGUCAAUGGACGAGAGUCUGAACCAGCCAAAGUAGCGUGAAGGAUGACUGCCCUAUGGGUUGUAAACUUCUUUUAUAAGGGAAUAAAGUGAGGGACGUGUCCCUUUUUGUAUGUACCUUAUGAAUAAGGAUCGGCUAACUCCGUGCCAGCCGCCGC